rnacentral:lncRNA from 1 species
GAAUGGAUCUUCUACCCACAAGGAAUCCAGUACCAACACUAUUUUCGAGUCUGUCCAAAAGAUGUCAUUCAACGCAGAGAAAGUCUCUGCAGUGAGGAAGCCAAAAAUUGAAUUAUUUGGUCCGAUGGGCAAAAAAACCCCAGGCCCCAGAGAAGAUGUGGAGGCCCAGGCCCCUGUUAUCCUAGAGGGUGGAGUGCCUAAAGGUCUUUUUGCAACUUGGCAGAAAGAAGAAUGGAGGCGGAAUACAUUAAAGAAGUCAUGCCGUAAAGUGGACCUGCCAUGGUCCCACAGAGAUUCAGAAACCCAGAGAUAUGGCUGUUCAUCCUCGGUGGCUCCCACUGUGAGGGAUGCUCAAGCUGGCCUGCCCCAAAAGCCUGGUCAAACUCCUCAAAACCCCAAGUCCAUGAUGUUCAUCAUGAACCCAGUCCGCCCCAAGUCCAAGUCUAAGAAGGAGGCCUCAGGUAACAGUUGUUCACAAGAAGCAGCUGGCAAGGGGUCCCAAGAGAAGCCCUCAGGUAACAAGAGCAGCAGUAGUAACCUGAACUUCAGAGAACCGGUCAACCUCGAGAACCCCUUUGGGGUCCAACUGAAAAGGACCAAUUCUUCCCUGAAGUCUGUUAGAGAGAAUCCAGAGUCUUCUCAACUGCCUUCUUUGAUGAAGGAGGAUCCCAAAGCACAAAGGGCUAAGAAGUAUGGAGAGAUGCCCUCAGUCUUCUCCAAGAAUUUGGACUUGAUGAAAGAGAUUCUUCUCAGCCUCACGUUGGAUAAUGAAGACAGACAAUCCCAGGCUGACACACCUUUCGGAAAGACCUUUGCUGCAGAAAGCAGCCCUGACCUGCCUGAGCCUGUGUGUGUCACCAUGGCCCAUCAGAAGCAGAAGAACUUCCAGGAGCAUCCUUUUCCCCAAAGUCUUCACUCCAGGAAAGGAGAUGGAGCUAAUACAUCCAUAUUUGACAUCGAUGAGUGAUUCCAGAUGGAGAUCAGGAGACAUCUUGGGUGCCUGAAGCUGGAAAAGGAGAGCCCCUUCAGCUGCCUCAGUUAUAUCCCACGGCUCCACCCAGCCACCCCUCUUUCACCCUGGUCAAGAAGAAAGCCAAGAUAUGAAAGAAGAUGCCACAGAUAGUUCAGUAAUUUCACAGCUAAGCCUUUUGGACAAGAAUUACCAAUAGCUUUAUAGUUGUUUCAUGUAGCAAUUUCUUUAUUUUACCAUAUUAUUAUUACCAUAUUAUUAUUAUUUUUAUUACCAUAUUGUGAUGAUAUGAUAUGAUAAAAUUACCAUAUUAUUAUCAUCAUUAUUCAUAGUGUUAACAGUAGUUUAUUAGCAUUGUUGUUAGUGUUAUUGAUAGAAUUAGCAAUAGUGGUAGAGGUGAUAGGAUAUUAAGUAAGACGAAGGCCUGGGGAUCAGUGGCAUGCCAGUUGUCCAAGAGCUAGUCUAGCACCGAGUUCAGACAUUCCUGUCUCAAGGUGACAACAGCCUGUGUCAUCAUCAGUGUUACCAUUUCAGCCAUAGCAUCUCCCAAAGACCAUUCAUAGAAGAGAGGCCGCCAUUUUCACUGAUGAAGGGCAUGUCCACCCUUGGAAUUAUUAUCAAUCCCUGCGGCUUUGAAGCCUUAGAAAGGAGAACUCACCUUAAAACACUUAUUUGAAAGCCAUGAUAGCCAAGGACUGCUGAACCGCCACCCCUGACAGCCAGUUGUCAAUAUCAGCAGCCAUAAUCACCAGAAAGAAUAGAAAAGCUAGACCCAUGCAGACCCACCACCAUCAUUUGCCUCCAGACAGCCAUGCACUAGAAUUCCUUUAAGGAAGCUAUGAAAGCUUUGCUUUCCUUGAUGAGCAGUAGUAUCUCUCGCAGUUCAGCCCAUCUACCUUGGCUCUGCUUGGAGGCCUUAGUCUGUAGGCCCAUUGCAGAUCUCUGGCAAUAAAGGGCUCUGGGAAAAGCUCUUAGAAAGUAUU